UACAUAGGUGGCGAGCGUUAUUCGGAAUCACUGGGCGUAAAGGGUUCGUAGGGGGCUGUAUAAGUCUGAUGUGAAAGCCGGGAGCUUAACUCCCGAAGUGCAUUGGAAACUAUAUAGCUAGAGUUAAUGAGAGGCAAGCGGAAUUCGUGGUGUAGCGGUGGAAUGCGUAGAUAUCACGAGGAAGGCCAAAGGCGAAAGCAGCUUGCUGGCAUUAUACUGACCCUGAGGAACGAAAGCUAGGGGAGCGAAAAGG
rnacentral:rRNA from 1 species